ensembl:lncRNA
ACAAUAUUCGUUCUCUUUCCUGACUUCUGCCUCCUUAAUGAAAGACACACUGAGAAGGGGAGCAGGAGAUACAAAAGAAAGCAUCUCUCUCUGAUUAUUGUACUAUGUGGAACUAUUUCUUCAAGGAACAAGUGAAGUAUUUGGCUAGGCAAAGAAUGAAAGAAAGAAAAACCUGUUAUUUGAAUGAGUAGCCACAGGAGAAUUCUGGAUGCUGACAGAAAUUCUUACCUAAACUAGGGAAUACUAGGGAAUACUGAUGAUUAUGUUGCAGGGAAAAACUGAUCUCUCUUUCUUGUGAUAAUAUUUAUUUAUUUAUUUAUUUGGUUUAAAAAAAAAAAAAAGAAGUACUGCAUGCAAGUCGAAUUUCAGAAUUCCACAAAGUGAGCUGUGUGCCAAAGCUCAGAGAGCUGUUGAAGGCAACUUUGACUGGUGACCUGCAGAAAAUAUGACUUCUGAGUAUACUACUGGGUCUACAAGAUUGGUGCAAGAGUAGUGUGAAGAUGCUUCUUCAUUUCUGCUUCAUUACUCACCGAAAGAUGUGGUGCAUGAUGGGAGUGCGUAGAGCUAGAGAACACACACUGCCUGAAGCUAAGGACAGCACUUACUGCAACAUUUCUGAAAUAGAACUGCAGUCUGAAGGUUGGAUGAUGCUUGAUCCCUGUAUCCUCUUUUCUUAAGAGGCAACAGUCUGCUACUCCUAUUGGCCAAGAGUAAAGAUCCUCACCACUGGCUGAUGAUAGAGGCCAAAGCUUUAAUUUCAUUGCACUUUUGUGGAGCUACAUAUAUCAAGACUGAAUACUCAUCCUCUGGGAAGUCUGCAGGAAGUCAUUAUAUCUGCACUCCAUUUGCCAUCCUCUUUAUAAUUAAAAAUAUCCAGAUAUUGUGUUCAAGCUAACAAAAGAAACUGAAUGCAUACAUACUAUUCUUGUCUGAGUAAGCUGAACAAAAUAAAGAUUUUGAGAC